GUAAAGAAACUUCAUUCAUGAUUAAAAAUUAGCUAAAUUACAGAAAAUUUUUCUGUAAUAACUCACUUUUUCACUUUUUCUCCCUGACAUUUAAAAAUCUACACUUUGCCCCCUUAUAAAAUAAAAAAUGUGCACUUCACCCCCUACCGUUAGGGUUCCGUUAUAAAAUAUUUUUUUAUGCCGAAAAAUACCCUUCCGCCCUCUUUCUUGUUGCUUCGCCUCCCUCCGGCUCGCCGCCUCGCAGCCUCGCCGUCCUCCACUGCCUCGCCCUCGCACACAUCCCCUUCGCCCUCCUCCGCCGCCUCGCCUUCGCCCUCGUUGCCCUUGCCUACCUCUCCAUCAACACCCAUCUCGAUUUCCUUCCUACUAUCGUCGAAAUCGAGGAACGGCGAGGGUGCAGGAAGAGAAGGGGAGUAGGUGGAGAAGGAAAUGGAGAGAAAUUCCGGCCAAUUGAGGUGGAAAUCGCGGCCGAUCGAAGGGGCGGCUUAGGAAGAUGAGGAAGAAGACGAAAAUGGCGAGGGACAAAAUGGUCAUUUUACACACCGUAACCCUCUUGUGAAUAUUUUUUAUUUUACAAGGGGGCAAAAUGUAGGUUUUUAAAUGUCGGGGGAAGUGAAAAAGCGAGUUAUUACAUGGGGUUUUUUUGUAAUUUAGCCUUAAAAAUUUAUAUCCACUUUUGAAUGUUUGGGAUGUANCGUUAUAAAAUAUUUUUUUAUGCCGAAAAUACCCCUCCGCCCUCUUCCUUGUUGCUUCGCCUCCCUCCGGCUCGCCGCCUCGCCGCCUCGCCGUCCUCCACUGCCUCGCACUCGCCCACAUCCCCUUCGCCCUCCUCCGCCGCCUCGCUUUCGCCCUCAUUGCCCUUGCCUACCUCUCCAUCAACACCCAUCUCGAUUUUUUCCCUACUAUCGUCGAAAUUGAGGGACGGCGAGGGUGCAGGAAGAGAAGGGGAGCAGGUAGAGAAGGAAAUGGAGAGAAAUCGCGGCCGCUUGAGGUGGGAAUUGCGGCCGAUCGAAGGGACGGCUGAGGAAGAUGAUGAAGAAGAUGAAAAUGGCGAGGGGCAAAAUAAUCAUUUUACACACCGUAACCCUCUUGUGAAUAUUUUUCAUUUUACAAGGGGGCAAAAUGUAGGUUUUUAAAUGUCGGGGGAAGUGAAAAAGCGAGUUAUUACAUGGGGUUUUUUUGUAAUUUAG
rnacentral:lncRNA from 1 species